UACGUAGGGUGCAAGCGUUUAUCCGGAAUUAUUGGGCGUAAAGAGCUCGUAGGCGGUUUGUCGCGUCUGCUGUGAAAACUGGAGGCUCAACCUCCAGCCUGCAGUGGGUACGGGCAAACUAGAGUGCGGUAGGGGAGAUUGGAAUUCCUGGUGUAGCGGUGGAAUGCGCAGAUAUCAGGAGGAACACCGAUGGCGAAGGCAGAUCUCUGGGCCGUAACUGACGCUGAGGAGCGAAAGCAUGGGGGAGCGAACAGG
rnacentral:rRNA from 1 species